GUGGGUGUUGUCACGUGGUCGCUUUCAGUGGGUGUUGUCACGUGGUCGCUUCAAGUAGCUUGUGUCGGCUCCCGAUUGCGCGUGUAGGUUCGUGGUGCGUUUUUUAUAAUUCACCUCGGAUUUGCACGCCUGCACGGUUGAGUCUUUCACGUCGCUCCUCGAACUACCGCGAUUUCCAAAUUGGGGGGCAAUCGAAUAGGUCAGACGAGGUUAAAUAAAUUUAUCGCUUCCAUAUACAGGCACUGCAGGAUAAGCAGUAUGCCAUGUUUUUUUU
rnacentral:snRNA from 13 species